ACUAUACAGUGAAACUGCGAAUGGCUCAUUAAAUCAGUUAUCGUUUAUUUGAUAGUACCUUACUACUUGGAUAACCGUGGUAAUUCUAGAGCUAAUACAUGCUAAAAAUCCCGACCCCUGGAAGGGAUGUAUUUAUUAGAUAAAAAACCAAUGCCUUCGGGCUCCUUGGUGAUUCAUGAUAACUUAACGAAUCGCAUGGCCUUGCGCCGGCGAUGGUUCAUUCAAAUUUCUGCCCUAUCAAGUUUCGAUGGUAGGAUAGUGGCCUACCAUGCUUUCAACGGGUAACGGGGAAUUAGGGUUCUAUUCCGGAGAGGGAGCCUGAGAAACGGCUACCACAUCCAAGGAAGGCAGCAGGCGCGCAAAUUACCCAAUCCCGACACGGGGAGGUAGUGACAAUAAAUACUGAUACAGGGCGCUUUCGCGUCUUGUAAUUGGAAUGAGUACGAUCUAAAAACUCUAACGAGGAACAAUUGGAGGGCAAGUCUGGUGCCAGCAGCCGCGGUAAUUCCAGCUCCAAUAGCGUAUAUUAAAGUUGUUGCAGUUAAAAAGCUCGUAGUUGAACCUUGGGCCGGGGUGGCGGGUCCGCCUCACCGCGUGCACUCGUCCGCCCUGGCCUUUCCUUCUGGCGAGCCCCAUGCCCUUCACUGGGUGUGGCGGGGAACCAGGACUUUUACUUUGAAAAAAUUAGAGUGUUCAAAGCAGGCAUAUGCUCGAAUACAUUAGCAUGGAAUAAUAGAAUAGGACGUGUGGUUCUAUUUUGUUGGUUUCUAGGACCACCGUAAUGAUUAAUAGGGAUAGUCGGGGGCAUCCGUAUUCAACUGUCAGAGGUGAAAUUCUUGGAUUUGUUGAAGACGAACUACUGCGAAAGCAUUUGCCAAGGAUGUUUUCAUUAAUCAGGAACGAAAGUUGAGGGAUCGAAGACGAUCAGAUACCGUCGUAGUCUCAACCAUAAACUAUGCCGACUAGGGAUCGGGCGAUGUUCUUAUUUUGACCCGCUCGGAACCUUACGAGAAAUCAAAG
rnacentral:rRNA from 1 species